UGGGGAAUAUUGGACAAUGGGCGCAAGCCUGAUCCAGCCAUACCGCGUGGGUGAAGAAGGCCUUCGGGUUGUAAAGCCCUUUUGUUGGGAAAGAAAUCCAGCCGGCUAAUACCUGGUUGGGAUGACGGUACCCAAAGAAUAAGCACCGGCUAACUUCGUGCCAGCAGCCGCGGUAAUACGAAGGGUGCAAGCGUUACUCGGAAUUACUGGGCGUAAAGCGUGCGUAGGUGGUUGUUUAAGUCUGUUGUGAAAGCCCUGGGCUCAACCUGGGAACUGCAGUGGAAACUGGACAACUAGAGUGUGGUAGAGGGUAGCGGAAUUCCCGGUGUAGCAGUGAAAUGCGUAGAGAUCGGGAGGAACAUCCAUGGCGAAGGCAGCUACCUGGACCAACACUGACACUGAGGCACGAAAGCGUGGGGAGCAAACAGGAUUAGAUACCCUGGUAGUCCACGCCCUAAACGAUGCGAACUGGAUGUUGGGUGCAAUUUGGCACGCAGUAUCGAAGCUAACGCGUUAAGUUCGCCGCCUGGGGAGUACGGUCGCAAGACUGAAACUCAAAGGAAUUGACGGGGGCCCGCACAAGCGGUGGAGUAUGUAGUUUAAUUCGAUGC
rnacentral:rRNA from 1 species